rnacentral:rRNA from 1 species
GACGAAGGAUGCAAGCGUUAUCCGGAUUCAUUGGGUUUAAAGGGAGCGUAGGUGGCCUUAUAAGUCAGUGGUGAAAUCUCCGAGCUUAACUCGGAAACUGCCAUUGAUACUAUAGAUCUUGAAUUAUCUGGAGGUGAGCGGAAUAUGUCAUGUAGCGGUGAAAUGCUUAGAUAUGACAUAGAACACCAAUUGCGAAGGCAGCUCACUACGGAUUGAUUGACACUGAGGCACGAAAGCGUGGGGAUCAAACAGG